rnacentral:snRNA from 1 species
ACACUACCAUGCCAAGACCACGAAGGUGGUUUUCCCAGGGCAAGGCUGGCCCACUGCACCCAGGGGCCUGCUGACCCCUGCGAUUUCCCACGUGCGGGAAUCUCGACUGCGUAAUGUAAGUUGGUGGGGAGCUGCGUGUGCGCUUUGUCCCGA